rnacentral:lncRNA from 1 species
UCAGACGCAGCCUGCUUCUGAUGGUGGUACCCCAAUCCAACUGUCACCCGAUGUUAUGACUUUAAUAUGGACGGAUGUAGUAGGUGGUGCAUCCAAAGGAAGAGUUUAGCUUGGAGUACAACGACCUUCCUCUUUUCGUCCAUCGCCAUUAGUUUCGGAUGCUCCUACGCAAAAUCAGGAAGAAAUGGGAGCAAUGCAAAAUAAUAUUUAGUUGUUAUCAAAACGAUGUGAGACGGCCGAAGCUCACAUUGCUAGAAUGGAUAAAUACAUGAAAAAACACAUGCCCCACUUUUAUGAUGAAGAGUUUGAU